UUGGGCGGCUAUGGCGCCGGGGCCCCACCUCUUCCCAUCCCGAACAGAGAAGUUAAGCCCGGACGCGCCGAUGGUACUGCGAACAGUGGGAGAGUAGGUGGCCGCCGAAA
rnacentral:rRNA from 1 species